AAACCAACAGGGAUUGCCUUAGUAGCGGCGAGUGAAGCGGCAAAAGCUCAAAUUUGAAAUCUGGCACUUUCAGUGUCCGAGUUGUAAUUUGAAGAAGGUAUCUUUGGGUCUGGCUCUUGUCUAUGUUUCUUGGAACAGAACGUCACAGAGGGUGAGAAUCCCGUGCGAUGAGAUGUCCCAGACCUAUGUAAAGUUCCUUCGAAGAGUCGAGUUGUUUGGGAAUGCAGCUCUAAGUGGGUGGUAAAUUCCAUCUAAAGCUAAAUAUUGGCGAGAGACCGAUAGCGAACAAGUACAGUGAUGGAAAGAUGAAAAGAACUUUGAAAAGAGAGUGAAAAAGUACGUGAAAUUGUUGAAAGGGAAGGGCUUGAGAUCAGACUUGGUAUUUUGUAUGUUACUCUCUCGGGGGUGGCCUCUACAGUUUACCGGGCCAGCAUCAGUUUGAGCGGUAGGAUAAGUGCAAAGAAAUGUGGCACUGCUUCGGUAGUGUGUUAUAGUCUUUGUCGAUACUGCCAGCUUAGACUGAGGACUGCGGCUUCGGCCUAGGAUGUUGGCAUAAUGAUCUUAAGU
rnacentral:rRNA from 1 species